CCUACGGGAGGCUGCAGUGGGGAAUAUUGGACAAUGGGGGCAACCCUGAUCCAGCCAUGCCGCGUGUGUGAAGAAGGCCCUCGGGUUGUAAAGCACUUUCAGUGAGGAAGAACGCCUGGUGGUUAAUACCCAUCAGGAAAGACAUCACUCACAGAAGAAGCACCGGCUAACUCCGUGCCAGCAGCCGCGGUAAUAUGGAGGGUGCGAGCGUUAAUCGGAAUUACUGGGCGUAAAGCGCGCGUAGGUGGCUUGAUAAGCCGGUUGUGAAAGCCCCGGGCUCAACCUGGGAACGGCAUCCGGAACUGUCAAGCUAGAGUGCAGGAGAGGAAGGUAGAAUUCCCGGUGUAGCGGUGAAAUGCGUAGAGAUCGGGAGGAAUACCAGUGGCGAAGGCGGCCUUCUGGACUGACACUGACACUGAGGUGCGAAAGCGUGGGUAGCAAACAGGAUUAGAUACCCCAGUAGUC
rnacentral:rRNA from 1 species